CAGCGCCACGAGUGGCAAUCACUUUUAUUGGGCCUAAAGCGUCCGUAGCCGGUUUAAUAAGUCUUUUGUGAAAUUGUCGGGCUUAACCUGACAACGUGCAAGAGAUACUGUUGAACUUGGAACCGGGAGGGGUCAGAGGUAUUUUGGGGGGAGCGGUAAAAUGCGAUAAUCCCCGAAGGACCACCUAUGGCGAAGGCAUCUGACCAGAACGGAUUCGACGGUGAGGGACGAAAGCCAGGGGAUCAAACCGGAUUAGAUACCCGAGUAGUCC
rnacentral:rRNA from 1 species